AAGUAGCCAACCUGCCAAACAAAGCUUUUCUGUCUGAAUGUGCCUUCUGAUAUUGUUAGUGUAAUACCAAGAGCAAGCCAAUUAACUGGGGUUAAAGAGUGACAGCCUAAGAUAGGUUAUGUAUGAA